rnacentral:misc_RNA from 1 species
GUGAAUCAUCAAAUUUUUGAACGCAAAUUGCACUCUCUGCGAAUAGUAUGCCUGUUUGAGUUUCAGCCUAAAAAAAAUCGACAUAGUCUCUGUUUCGCGGUGACAUUCGUCGUAAAUUGGGUCAUCUCAAACCGUUGUUUGUUUUAAUCUGCUUAUAAUUUUCUUUACGAUUCCACGAACGGUUCUAAGAUUUUUCUUCUUACACACGUUUAAGGUAUCGAUCUUUAUUAGACGUUGCGUGUGCAUCGGAUCGUGUCCAUAAAUAGU